GAUGAACGCUGGCGGCGUGCCUAAUACAUGCAAGUCGAACGCUUCACUUCGGUGAAGAGUGGCGAACGGGUGAGUAAUACAUAAGUAACCUGGCAUCUACAGGGGGAUAACUGAUGGAAACGUCAGCUAAGACCGCAUAGGUGUAGAGAUCGCAUGAACUCUAUAUGAAAAGUGCUACGGGACUGGUAGAUGAUGGACUUAUGGCGCAUUAGCUUGUUGGUAGGGUAACGGCCUACCAAGGCGACGAUGCGUAGCCGACCUGAGAGGGUGACCGGCCACACUGGGACUGAGACACGGCCCAGACUCCUACGGGAGGCAGCAGUAGGGAAUUUUCGGCAAUGGGGGAAACCCUGACCGAGCAACGCCGCGUGAAGGAAGAAGUAAUUCGUUAUGUAAACUUCUGUCAUAGAGGAAGAACGGUGGAUAUAGGGAAUGAUAUCCAAGUGACGGUACUCUAUAAGAAAG
rnacentral:rRNA from 1 species